GCAACCUGCUUGCUGAAGGUCAAGCUCUUAACUUUUCUUCCAUUCUACUAUUACGCUAACACUCUAUAUUCUGUUUGUUUUAUUCUUUUAAGUAACUCAUCUCUUUCAUUCAUUCUAAAAACCUUUAGACACUUGUAUUUUCAAUAACUUCCAAGAUCUUUAAUGUAGCUAUAGUCCUAUUACUUAUGAAGGAAACAGAGUGCUUAUUAUGCAAUUCUUCUAAAUUCUAGCUUAAGCCAACUCUAUGAAACUAAGAGUCUUUUUCCAAUAUUUCUAAAAACAGAGCACUUACUCAAAUGUUUUAGUUAACAGGUUGUCUAUUUUCACUUGAUUUUAUAUUAGCAAUGAACUCAUGUUUAGUACCCUUAUUGAUUCUUUAAGUGAUCACAAGUAAAGUGUAAUCAUGUAACAAGUUGGUAACAAGAUACUUCUAAACUUUCGAUUCAUAUGAUGAGUUGAAAGUCUUUGUUUCAUUUACUAUGAAACCAUAUACACGUAUGAGAAUAAGAAGUAGAUGUCAUGCAAUUUUCUUAAUUAUGUUAGGUUCCUGUUCUUGCAUAAUUUCUUUUAAUACAUUAGUAUUGUUAGAAUUUAAUUAUAAUUCUAGUUAGUUAAGAAAUAGUUGUUUUGAUGAGUUAAUAGGUGUCCUAGAUGAAGGUGAUUGCUCAAGUUAUUUUUGAAAGCUUCGAGUUAGUGCAGGAUACUAAGACCUCAAGUUGAAGUUCAUUGAAAAAAGAAAAAUGGCAUUGUGAGAGACAUUAAAAUAAAGAACGUUAGUGCUGAUUGGUGGUCUAGUUUUAUUUUUGGAGUCUGAAGAGAAUGAUCUCUUUGAUAUGUAUUGAUGACGUCAUCGGAGUACUCUCUAGGUGACAUGUAUCUUUAGUGUUUGACCAGUUUGUGAUCAUUUGUGGGUUAGAGUCUUUUGUAGGAAUUUAUUUUUUUAUCAUUUUAAAUUGAAAAAUUGUACGAUACUUAUGUGAAAUGGAAAUGUUUUAGAUUUGAAAA